CGAGUGGAUCCCUUCGGGGUGAAGCUCGUGGAACGAGCGGCGGACGGGUGAGUAACACGUGGGCAACCUGCCUGUAAGAUCGGAAUAACCCCGGGAAACCGGGGCUAAUGCCGGGUAAUACUUUCUUUCGCAUGAAGGAAAGUUGAAAGAUGGCUUCUCGCUAUCACUUACAGAUGGGCCCGCGGCGCAUUAGCUAGUUGGUGAGGUAACGGCUCACCAAGGCGACGAUGCGUAGCCGACCUGAGAGGGUGAUCGGCCACACUGGGACUGAGACACGGCCCAGACUCCUACGGGAGGCAGCAGUAGGGAAUCUUCCGCAAUGGACGAAAGUCUGACGGAGCAACGCCGCGUGAACGAUGAAGGUCUUCGGAUCGUAAAGUUCUGUUGUUAGGGAAGAACAAGUACCGUGCGAAUAGAGCGGUACCUUGACGGUACCUAACGAGGAAGCCCCGGCUAACUACGUGCCAGCAGCCGCGGUAAUACGUAGGGGGCAAGCGUUGUCCGGAAUUAUUGGGCGUAAAGCGCGCGCAGGCGGUUCCUUAAGUCUGAUGUGAAAGCCCACGGCUCAACCGUGGAGGGUCAUUGGAAACUGGGGAACUUGAGGACAGAAGAGGAGAGUGGAAUUCCACGUGUAGCGGUGAAAUGCGUAGAUAUGUGGAGGAACACCAGUGGCGAAGGCGACUCUCUGGUCUGUUUCUGACGCUGAGGUGCGAAAGCGUGGGUAGCAAACAGGAUUAGAUACCCUGGUAGUCCACGCCGUAAACGAUGAGUGCUAGGUGUUAGGGGGCUUCCACCCCUUAGUGCUGAAGUUAACGCAUUAAGCACUCCGCCUGGGGAGUACGGCCGCAAGGCUGAAACUCAAAGGGAAUUUGACGGGGGCCCGCACAAGCGGUGGAGCAUGUGGUUUAAUUUCGAAGCAACGCGGAGAACCUUACCCAGGUCUUGACAUCUUGACAUCCCUAGGAGAAUAGAACUUUCCAUCCGGGAACAGUUGACAGUGUGCAUGGAUGUCGUCAGCUCGUGUCCGGAAUGUCGUUAAGUCCGCACGAGCCACCUAAUCUAGUGCAGCAUCAGUGACUCUA
rnacentral:rRNA from 1 species